rnacentral:rRNA from 1 species
GUCCGUAGUGAUUGUAUACGACAUUCCAAGCUUAGAGUUUGAUCCUGGCUCAGGAUGAACGCUAGCGGGAGGCUUAACACAUGCAAGCCGAGGGGUAUUCAGUUGCUUGCAACUGAAGAGACCGGCGCACGGGUGAGUAACGCGUAUGUAACUUGCCUCAUUCAACGGGAUAGCCCGGGGAAACCCGGAUUAAUAUCGUAUAACAGCCGGACAGGCAUCUGUUUGGUUUGAAAGAUUCAUCGGAAUGAGAUAGACAUGCGUAUGAUUAGCUUGUUGGCGGGGUAACGGCCCACCAAGGCGAUGAUCAUUAGGGGUCCUGAGAGGGUGAUCCCCCACACUGGUACUGAGACACGGACCAGACUCCUACGGGAGGCAGCAGUGAGGAAUAUUGGACAAUGGGUGAGAGCCUGAUCCAGCCAUCCCGCGUGCAGGAAGACGGCCUUAUGGGUUGUAAACUGCUUUUAUACAGGGAUAAACCAUCUUACGAGUAGGGUGUUGAAGGUACUGUAUGAAUAAGCACCGGCUAACUCCGUGCCAGCAGCCGCGGUAAUACGGAGGGUGCAAGCGUUAUCCGGAUUUAUUGGGUUUAAAGGGUCCGCAGGCGGGUCUGUAAGUCAGGGGUGAAAUCCGGCAGCUUAACUGUCGAACUGCCUUUGAUACUGCAGGUCUUGAGUGGGAAUGAAGCAGCUGGAAUGUGUGGUGUAGCGGUGAAAUGCAUAGAUAUCACACAGAACACCGAUAGCGAAGGCAGGUUGCUAAUUCUCAACUGACGCUGAGGGACGAAAGCGUGGGGAGCGAACAGGAUUAGAUACCCUGGUAGUCCACGCCGUAAACGAUGGAUACUGUCUGUUGGUUCGUAAGGAUCAGUGGAUAAGCGAAAGUGAUAAGUAUCCCACCUGGGGAGUACGUUCGCAAGAUGAAACUCAAGGAUUGACGGGGGCCCGCACAAGCGGUGGAGCAUGUGGUUUAAUUCGAUGAUACGCGAGGACCUUACCAAGGCUUAAAUGUAUAAUGACAGGGGGAAACACCUUUUUCUUCGACAGUAUGCAAGGUGCUGCAUGGCUGUCGUCAGCUC